GACGAACGCUGGCGGCGUGCUUAACACAUGCAAGUCGAGGGCAUCAGGAGGAGCAAUCUUUCUGGUGACCGGCGAACGGGUGCGUAACACGUGAGCGACCUACCCUGGUGUGGGGGAUAGCCGGCCCAACGGCCGGGUAAGACCGCAUACGCUUGUUGGAGUACCUGCUCUGGCAAGGAAAACCUGGGGCAACCCAGGUGCACCGGGAGGGGCUCGCGGCCUAUCAGCUUGUUGGCGGGGUAAUGGCCCACCAAGGCGAUGACGGGUAGCUGGUCUGAGAGGAUGGCCAGCCGCAUUGGGACUGCGAGACGGCCCAGACUCCUACGGGAGGCAGCAGUGGGGAAUCUUGCGCAAUGGGCGGAAGCCUGACGCAGCGACGCCGCGUGGAGGAGGAAGCCCUUC
rnacentral:rRNA from 1 species